GGACUACUGGGGUUUCUAAUCCUGUUCGCUCCCCACGCUUUCGCGCCUCAGUGUCAGUAAUGGUCCAGGAAGUCGCCUUCGCCACUGGUGUUCCUUCCGAUAUCUACGCAUUUCACCGCUACACCGGAAAUUCCACUUCCCUCUACCACACUCUAGCUAUCUAGUUUCAUAUGCAAUUCCUAGGUUAAGCCCAGGGAUUUCACAUCUGACUUAAAUAACCACCUACGCGCCCUUUACGCCCAGUAAUUCCGAUUAACGCUCGCACCCUCUGUAUUACCGCGGCUGCUGGCAC
rnacentral:rRNA from 1 species